rnacentral:tRNA from 3 species
GGAGUGGUGGUCGAGAGGCUGAAGGCGCCGGGCUGUAAACCCGGAUCGAGAGACGCGUAGGUUCGAAUCCUACCCACUCCACCA